rnacentral:rRNA from 1 species
UACGUAGGGUGCGAGCGUUAAUCGGAAUUACUGGGCGUAAAGCGUGCGCAGGCGGUGAUGUAAGACAGAUGUGAAAUCCCCGGGCUUAACCUGGGGACUGCAUUUGAUACGUGUCGUCUUGAGUUCGGAAGAGGGUCGUGGAAUUCCCAGUGUAGAGGUGAAAUUCGUAGAUAUUGGGAAGAACACCGGUGGCGAAGGCGGCGACCUGGUCCGAUACUGACGCUGAGGCGCGAAAGCGUGGGGAGCAAACAGG